UCCUUAUAUCUAGCUGAAAUCUACCCUCUUUGAGAGUCUGUCCCCUUCUUUCCUAUAGCUCCCCUGUAGAUACUGAAGGGCUGCUACCAGGUCACCUCACAGCCUUCUCUUCUCCAGGCUGAACAGCUCCAGCUCUCAGCCUGCCCUCAUAGUAGAGGUGUUCAAUUCUGUAGAUCAUUUCUGUGGCCCUUCUCUGGAUGCUCCCCAACAGGUCUCUGUCUCUCCUGUACUGAGGACUCCACAUCUGGAUGCAGUACUCCAGGUGAGGCCUCAGCAGUGCAAUUUAGGGCACUCCUUUUGAAGAUUAAAAUACAAAAGGAGCUGAUCUUUUCAACAGUCUGCCUGAAUCCUGGGAGACGCUCAGUGAACAAUGAAGUUAUGUCACCUUAUUGAAAGUACACAGUAUCGUUUGUCAGAUGUCACUUGUGUGUUUGAGAAGUUGAUUGAACUGUGUAUAUUCAGUGCUAGCUUCUAACUAUAAAUAUUUCAAAAGUCCUGAAAAAACUCUUGACUCAUGUGCACUAGGAAGUUCUGAAGUACUGCAAGUAGAUCUCUACAGCUUGUCACUCUGAAUAAAACAGUAUAAGCAUCUUAGAGUUUAGUCAUGAGAGGGCAAAGCACUGUGAAUUUUGUUGCUUUCUCCUUGAAGCUUACAAGCUAUUUUGCUGCCCCAAAACUUUUACUGUCACAUGAGCAGAUGUUUUUGUCUAAUUUAAAAAUCAAGCUGCUUCUAAUCUCAGGUGAAGAAUGAGAUUUUGUUAAGCUUUAUUUUUAUCUGCCACAGUUAAAUUCUUCUGAAAGUAAUUGUCUUGAAGGUUCAGCCAGUAAUGUACGGUUUGUCUUUUUAGUUUGUUUGUUGUAGAUUUACUAUAUUGUACCCAGCUGAAUCUUACUGGGCUUUUAUUUUCUUAUACUGCUACCUAAAUGUAAUAAUCCUAUGCGCUUCUCACGCUACUUCUGCUUUUGAUUUCUGUGUUAUUAAAUUAGUUCACAUGCUGACUGUUGAAUCAAGAAUGAGUCCCUGUAAAACUCCCACUGCAUACCUUUCCCACUGUUCCUAUCAGCUACUGGUAAUAAUAGUCCCAUUGAACCAGCUUAAAGAAGGAAGCACAUCACAAACUCAAAAAGCUGCACCGGACGGUUGUGGGAGGGAGCAGCCUACACAGCCUGUCGUCUUCCUGUGUUAAGCAUCUCUUUGUUGCUUUGGGGUUUCAUAGUUGCAGAGGAAGGGAUGUGGACAGCUACUGUUUGGUGGAUACUCCUGUUCCAAAAGCACGUAUUCGUUAAACCACAGUUUGAUUUUUCUAUCCAUAUCUCCAAUUCCUUUGCUGAAAGGAACACAGCUAUGAAGCAAUAGCGGUUACUUUGCCAGAUACCCACAUUUCUAGUAGCAGAACUGAUAACAAAGGGGAUUUCUGUAGAAGUUUUACAGGUUUUUAUUUUCCCGUGUUCAGCAAAGUAAUCAAUGGGGAAACAUUCUGAAGACUUCAGCUCUGAAGUUGCUGCCAUUUUAGCUGUGGGUUUUGUGGUGUGUAAUUUUUGAUUUUUGUGGUUUGGUGGUGGCUUUUGUUGUUGUUUUAUGAAUGUCACAAUAGAAAUAAAUAGUCCACAGCCAUGAGCCACCAAGGAAAGGAAGAAUGCUGUAAGAGACACUCUUCAUAGAAAAGCAGCUGGCAGGGUAUCUUUCCUGCUAGCGUUCUUUUCUGUAUUUCAGCUGAAUUUUUGCCACGUUCAGAGUGCAUUCAGAUUUCUAGGCAGACCCAGCAUUCACAUCUAGAUAUGUAUUCUUCCUGUAAAACAAAGAAUGUGCCUUAAGGUGUGCCAGGCUAGCUGACCUGUGCCAUCACAGCCUUUUUCCUCAGUUUGAACUUUGAAAGCAGGUGACUCAAUGAUCCCCGUGGUUCCCUUCCAAUGUCAGAGAAGAGCUUCACCCCUGCAGUGCAGAGGCAAUCAGCAUGGGUUUCACCUGUCUGUGGGUGCUGUGCCUCAUCUGAGCACUGACCUAACAAAUGGGAUUCUGGGGUCACAGAAUCACAGAAUUGUAGGGGCUGGAAGGGACCUCUAGAGAUCAUUGAGUCCAACCCUCCUAUUAAAGGAGGUUCCCUAGAGUAAGUUGCAGAGGUCAGCUCCCAAUGCUCAUCUAAGGAAAGUUGAGCUCCGUGGAGAUCUUAAGUGCUUGCUGUGUUGUGCUGAGCUCUCCUGUGACUCAAGAGUCAUCAAAGUACUCUCCAAAAAAGGAAUUUGUCCUCACUUUGUAUCUGAGAGAGAGGUAUUGCAUUACCUCUGCUUCAAAAAUGAGGAAGAAAGCGAUUAUGUGAUUCACCUUAAUUGCACAGGAAGCCACUUGGACUUGUCUUAAUGUUACUGCUGAUCCCACAGACUUGUCAGCAGGUUAAAAUUGGAUGCUUCUCUAAUCCGGUGUCUCCUGUGUGUGUACAGGAACUGUGUCCUGGGCUAUCCUCACUGGGUUUCAAAUGGAUCUAAAUAUCCCCACUGAUAAGUUAGCUUGUUCUAGAUUUUAUGAUGUUAUUUUCUACUAGCUUCAUCUGAAACUGAAAAGACAUUUCCAUUAAUGCAGUGGAGACAAAAAGCCUCCGCUCUCUGACCCCCGCGGAUUAGUGCUAUUCAUCUAGAAGAAAUCACAGCUGCUGCAGCUGUUCAGUGGGAGAGCUGAGGAUGGCCAUGACAUGCUGCAAGUUGUUCGAUAGCAAUUAAAGCGGGUUCAUCAAGUAUUGCUCAUCCUGCAAAUGCCUAAUGGGAGAUGGUUGUGCACUGACCUUUCAAGAUUGCAUCACUGCUCUGCGUGCUUGAAAAUAAGUAAAAAAAAACAAAAUGCA